rfam:Triticum aestivum genome assembly, contig: Triticum_aestivum_CS42_TGACv1_scaffold_288198_4AL
UGGAGUAUAGCCAAGUGGUAAGGCAUCGGUUUUUGGUACCAGCAUGCAAAGGUUCGAAUCCUUUUACUCCAC